AUUGAACGCUGGCGGCAUGCCUUACACAUGCAAGUCGAACGGUAACAGGUUAAGCUGACGAGUGGCGAACGGGUGGGUAAUAUAUCGGAACGUGCCCAGCCGUGGGGGAUAACGUAGCGAAAGCUACGCUAAUACCGCAUACGAUCUACGGAUGAAAGCGGGGGAUCGCAAGACCUCGCGCGAUUGGAGCGGCCGAUAUCAGAUUAGGUUGUUGGUGAGGUAAAAGCUCACCAAGCCUGCGAUCUGUAGCUGGUCUGAGAGGACGACCAGCCACACUGGAACUGAGACACGGUCCAGACUCCUACGGGAGGCAGCAGUGGGGAAUUUUGGACAAUGGACGCAAGUCUGAUCCAGCAAUGCCGCGUGCAGGACGAAGGCCUUCGGGUUGUAAACUGCUUUUGUACGGAACGAAACGGUGAGCUCUAAUACAGUUUGCUAAUGACGGUACCGUAAGAAUAAGCACCGGCUAACUACGUGCCAGCCGCCGCGGUAA
rnacentral:rRNA from 1 species